rnacentral:rRNA from 1 species
UAAUUGAAGAGUUUGAUCAUGGCUCAGAUUGAACGCUGGCGGCAGGCCUAACACAUGCAAGUCGAACGGUAACAGGGAGUAGCUUGCUGCUCUGCUGACGAGUGGCGGACGGGUGAGUAAUGUCUGGGAAACUGCCUGAUGGAGGGGGAUAACUACUGGAAACGGUAGCUAAUACCGCAUAACGUCUACGGACCAAAGUGGGGGACCUUCGGGCCUCAUGCCAUCAGAUGUGCCCAGAUGGGAUUAGCUAGUAGGUGGGGUAACGGCUCACCUAGGCGACGAUCCCUAGCUGGUCUGAGAGGAUGACCAGCCACACUGGAACUGAGACACGGUCCAGACUCCUACGGGAGGCAGCAGUGGGGAAUAUUGCACAAUGGGCGCAAGCCUGAUGCAGCCAUGCCGCGUGUAUGAAGAAGGCCUUCGGGUUGUAAAGUACUUUCAGCGGGGAGGAAGGCGUUGUGGUUAAUAACCACAGCGAUUGACGUUACCCGCAGAAGAAGCACCGGCUAACUCCGUGCCAGCAGCCGCGGUAAUACGGAGGGUGCAAGCGUUAAUCGGAAUUACUGGGCGUAAAGCGCACGCAGGCGGU